UCAAUCAGGUAGUUGUAUAUGUAUUACUGUGUCUGGGCUCUCUGUUCUGGUUAUUGGAGGAUUUUAAAUGAGCCUCAGAUUUUCCUUCAGAAAUGCUCACUCUGGAUGCAUUGUGGACGAUGGAUUGGUGGCGGAGUGGAUCCAGGGGAAUGUGUAGAAGAAUAUUGGCAAACCAAGAGGAGAUGAUGGUGGCCUGGAUGAGGGUAGUGGUCGUGGAGGAAGAGGAUGGAGGUGAAAUCAACAGGGCUUGGUGAUGGAUUGGAAAUGAGUGGAGACAGAGUCUCGCUGUGUCACCAGGCUGGAGUGCAGUGGCAUGAUCUUGGCAUCUUGGCUCACUGCAACCUCAACUUCCCAGGUUGGAGCAAUUCUCCUGCCUCAGCCUCCUGAGUAGCUGGGACUACAGGUGUG
rnacentral:lncRNA from 1 species